rnacentral:rRNA from 1 species
AAUCAACGCUGGCGGCGUGCCUAACACAUGCAAGUCGAACGAGAAAGUGGAGCAAUCCAUGAGUAAAGUGGCGCACGGGUGAGUAACACGUGACUAACCUACCCUUGAGUGGGGGAUAACUGGGAGAAAUCCUAGCUAAUACCGCAUAAUACCUACGGGUCAAAGGAGCAAUUCGCUCGAGGAGGGGGUCGCGGUCGAUUAGUUAGUUGGCGGGGUAAUGGCCCACCAAGACUGUGAUCGAUAUCCGGCCUGAGAGGGCGCACGGACACA